GUGCUUCUGAUGACCCGGCCGCCGCCGCCGCCCUGCAACCGCUCCCCGGGACCCCUCAACGCUGACACUGAUGACCCGCGGCGGGGGCGCUGGGCGCGGGGUGCGCAGGCCACUGGCCGCGGGCUCUCGGGCCCGCUCCUGCCGCCGGCUUCUGCUGCUUCCGCGUGCCGUGGACACUGCCAGAAUUUGUCAAAGGUCCUAGGAAGAAAAGGCUCUUUCACCCCUCCCCUCAAUGAACAGAUGGCGUGUUUGGACUGUUCGCAUUCGCUCCUCAUAGGGACAAAUGAAUCUCUUCCCACGCCAUGGGAUUUCCCUUGAUUUUUAUAUUGGGAGUGAAAAGAUGAAGCAUGAGACUCUUCAGCUGCAUCUCGAACUGCAUCUAAUCCCAGCACAUCUCUCUCAAUCUUUGAUUAAGUCUGUUCAUCUAAAAGAGAGACACAGGGGAAAAAUGGAAAUGGGACUUUGGAAGAAUGACCAUCCACAUUCCCAUCACAGCCUGAGAUUUCCUACCUGAUUGAGAUUUUCAGUAGAUGGCCCUAGGUCUAGUUUCCCACUUUGGACCUGCUGCCCUUGGCUCCAAUAGAGGACUUCCAAGUAACUAGGAAGAUUUCACCUCUCUUUUGAAACAUAAUGGACAAAUGUGUUUCUUUAGGAUGAGAGGUGCACCUGGCUAGUCAAUCUUUAUUUUCCUAAAAUAAACAGGAUGAAAACUCAAAACAAAAAGAAAUACCUCAUGGGCAAAAGCUCUCCCAAUACAACUAAUACAGACACUCAACAUGGCUUUGUAGAAACUGACCCCUCUCCCAAGUCUUAUGUUUGUCAGAAUUGCAUGCCUAUUUCAAUCGAAGAAAAGUGAUCUGAUCUCUUCAGAUGAAGGUGGGACUUGGAGAUGCUGCUGCCUAGAGUUAACUUGCCAGAGAAAGGAUAAGCAUUCGGGAAGUGCCAGGAUGGGGUAUCAGCUGAACAAUGGCAGGAUCCCUUCUGCCAGUGGGCUGGCUCAGGGAGUAAACCUCCCCGGAAGGAAUUUUGUUUCUCUCUAGAAUCAAAGUGGGCAAAAUGAUCACCUUAUUCGCCUGGAGUGAACCAGGUUGAAACUGAGAAGGCAGACAUGGGUGAUAAGCCAGAUGAAGUCAUAUGUUAUAACUAAGCUAUGUACCUGUAACUUGCCUGGUAGUUUUUUCAUUCUCUCUAAACAGGUCAUAAUAAGUGUUAGUCUGUGAUCCACUAUGGAGAGAGAUUUCUGGAAAGAAUAGAGGCAGUGGUAGAGGGUCCAAGGUUGUUAUUUAAGGAGAUGAAUGUGGGUCAGGUGCCGUGGCUCACACCUGUAAUCCCAGCAUUUUGGGAGGCAGAGGCAGGAGGAUUGCUUAAGGCCAGAGUUCAAGACCAAACUGGCCAAUAUAGUGAGAUCCCCCCCCCAUCUCUACAAAAGAUAGAAAAACUUAGCCAGGCAUGGUGGCAGGUGCUAUAGUCCCUGCCACCAUGGGACUACAGCUCCUGCAGUCCCAGCUACUCAGGAGUUGAGGCGGAAGGAUUGCUUGAGCCCAGAAGUUCGAGGUUGCAGUGAGCCAUGAUCAUGCCACUGCACUCCUCCGUGGGUGACAGAGCGAGACCUGACUCAAUAAUAAUAAUAUUAAUAAUAAUGAUAAUGCAACACAAACUAUCUUUUACCUCUUGAACAAUGAAUGCAGAUGCCAUGACUACAUCUGUUUGUUGGGGACCAGGGAGGCUGCCAGUGAGGAUUCAGGGUGGAAGUAGUGUGUACCCAAUACCUAUUGUGAGAUGUGGCCUGGGGAGCCCUGAGAUUGCCUGGCCAGGCUCACUCACUACCCAGACACCCUCUUCCUGCAUGGCGAGUCCCUCAGCCCCUCCAAGGCUCAAUUCUCAGACAUCGGAGUAAUCCACAUCCUCCAUCUUGAGUUACUCCUCACAAGGCCUGCAAGUUUUCCUAGGAGGAAGGGAAGACAGGGUUGAACCCACACAAUUCUAGAAUCUAGAAUUUGGAGGAUUUCUAAACCAUUUCUGUAAGUCAGCCCUUGAGAACUUGUAGAUUUUCUCAUCAUUUGCAGCAUGAGAGUCUGGAGUAGACUGUUUGGAUUUGACUCUUGGUUCCUUGGGCAAGUUACUUAACCUCUCAGCUGUGUGUCAGUUUCCUUAUCUAAAAAGUGUGGUUAAUAAUAACUGACCUCUCAGAGGUAUUGUGAGGUUACUGUGAUGAUUAAAUUAGUUGAUUCAUAUAAAAUGUUUAAAAGAGUGCCUGGCAUUAUUAUUAAUAGUAAUAAGUUUAGCAUAAGUCUUGCCUGCCAAUAAGGAGCUGGAUUGAAUGACUACUUUGAUUCUAUUUCUUGGCCUUCUCUUCUCUGGACUAGGUGACCCCAACUUUCUCCUUACUCCUGAAAAAUUUAUCCCAGUCUGCUAAGGAAGAGAAAGCCCAUGUGUGCACAUACACACAUGCACCUACACAAACAUUUACAUACAGUUUUGCUCUUCUAUACAGAGUUAAUAGAGCUACUAGAGUGUCUAGGAACCAAUCUGAAAGAGAAAGGAAACACUGCUUUUUUUUUGUUUGUUUUUUGAGAUGGAGUCUCACUCUGUCACCAGGCUGGAGUGCAGUGGCGCAAUUGUGGCUCACUGCAAACUCCACUUCCCUAGUUCAAAUGAUUCUCCUGCCUCAGCCUCCCGAGUAGCUGGGACUACAGGCGUGCAUCACCACACCCAGCUAAUUUUUGUAUUUUUAGUAGAGAUGGGGUUUCACCAUGUUGGCUAGGAUGGUCUUGAUCUCUUGACCUCGUGAUCUGCCUGCCUCAGCCUCUCAAAGAGCUGGGAUUACAGGCAUGAGUCACCACGCCCGGCCGAAACACUGCUUAUUACAAUUUAUAGGUUUAUGUUCAAAAAGUUGCUAAUCUUAUUGCUGUGAACCCCUGCCAUCUCUAGUCCUGCCCACCUAUAGGUACUGCAGACCAAAUUACAGAUUCAGAUUUGCCCAGUUCCUGUUCCUGUCUUGACCAAUCCUAGUAACUUAUUUGGGGCCCAGCCCCAUCUUCAGUGGAAGGUCUAAAAUUGGCCUUGCUUCCUUAAGCUGGGUACACAGUGGGCCCAGGACUAAGCCUCAUGAAGCUUUUAGAGGCCCACUGAGAUUAACCUUUCUCACCAGUGCUCACCUUGUCUUCCUAGUGACCAUGGCUGCCUUCUGUCUAGUUCUAGAGUUGCACUCUAAUUCUCUUCCAGCGCUGUUGCCCUGAUCUACAUAUCUAUCUCUUUUAGAACUUUCCAGCUUAUGUGUCCAAUGUCAGUCUUUCUUCCAAAUAAAUAGAACUUUAUCUUG
rnacentral:lncRNA from 10 species